AUUGAACGCUGGCGGCAGGCCUAACACAUGCAAGUCGAACGAGUGGCGCACGGGUGAGUAAUGUCUGGGAAACUGCCUGAUGGAGGGGGAUAACUACUGGAAACUGUAGCUAAUACCGCAUACCCUCGGAUGUGCCCCGAUGGGAUUAGCUAUUAGGUGGGGUAAAGGCUCACCUAGGCGACGAUCCCUAGCUGGUCUGAGCGGAUGACCAGCCACACUGGAACUGAGACACGGUCCAGACUCCUACGUGAGGCAGCAGUGGGGAAUAUUGCACAAUGGGCGCAAGCCUGAUGCAGCCAUGCCGCGUGUAUGAAGAAGGCCUUCGGGUUGUAAAGUACUUUCAGCCGGGAGGCGUUACCCGCAGAAGAAGCACCGGCUAACUACGUGCCAGCAGCCGCGGUAAUAC
rnacentral:rRNA from 1 species